CAGGACCCUGCGAGGCGGCCAGCAGAGGAGGAGGUGGAGGGGAGGACUGAGACCUCUGCCCAGGACUGGUGUCCUUAGAGAAGGAGAUGAGACCAGGGAUGCGCGGAGAGGAUGACACGUGAGGACACUGGGCGGAGACAGCUGUCUGCAUGCCAAGGAGGGAGGCCCCGGAAGAACCAGCCUUGUGGCACCCCCAUCUCGGACUUCAGCCUCCAGAAUUCUGCCCUGUCCGGGGCUGAACCCUGGCCCCAAACCCUGCCCUCCAGGUAGACCCCCACGGGGACGCGCCGCCGGCCCUCA